CUAAUUCUUUGAUGAGUACCUUUGUAAAUAGAAUUGCUCAAAGGACAACAUUCACAGCCACAGACUUGGACACCCAACAAUCUGUAUCCCAGGGUGACAAUACCUCUGGUCACCUCGGAAACAUAGCAGCCACAGCUAUGUUCUCACAACUUGGGGUGAGUUAAGUUCCCAGCUCUAGAGCUGCAGAAUGCAGCUAAAAGGAGCACUUGGCUGGUGACUGAAAUGUGGGCAGCACACCAGGUCACUCAUGUGGCAAGAGUGAAGCCAGUGACCUGGUUGGUGUUAGAUGAGACAGUUCCAAUGAGAAUGACAAACCUAAGCCAGUCUCGCUCGGCAUUUGUGUCUGAAUUUGAUAAGAGGAUAAACUUGGACCAAGAAUCCAGAGUUCAGUGUGUGAAUCCAGGCCCUGGUGGAGACUUCGCCUUGCCAUGUAGAGAACAGAGAAGAAGGGAC
rnacentral:lncRNA from 1 species